GGCUCAGAUUAGAACCCAAAUUGAAACGUGACUGGCUCAUCCUCUGGCAAAACACACAGUGUGGAUCCACUCAUCUCCUGCAGUACUGCAUCUAUCCUAAACUCCACCAAGUCAUUUACCCUGUCCAUCAACAGCUCCAGGUCAACUGGAGAGACAAGAGAAAGAGAGCGACACAGACCAACAGGAGGAGGAGAAAAAGAAGUUGUCAAGCAUUGGAAGAAGGGUGUCCUGUUUCUGCUGCAACAAAGCAGCGAAUGGCGGGAUCUCCAAAUGCAUCCUUGUCAUGCAGUUUGCCUCCCUGA